rnacentral:rRNA from 1 species
CUUUUAUGGAGAGUUUGAUCCUGGCUCAGGACGAACGCUGGCGGCGUGCCUAAUACAUGCAAGUCGAGCGGAGUUU